GCCCGUAUGGCGUAAUGGCUAACGCGUCUGACUGUGAGUACACGAAAAUCAUCGUUCGAAUCUCCAUACUAACUACCCAAUUGUCUAAUCAGAAGAUUUCGGGUUCGAGUCCCGAUAUGGGCU